rnacentral:rRNA from 1 species
GACGAACGCUGGCGGCGUGCUUAACACAUGCAAGUCGAACGGAAAGGCCCUGCUUGCAGGGUACUCGAGUGGCGAACGGGUGAGUAACACGUGGGUGAUCUGCCCUGCACUUCGGGAUAAGCCUGUGCAACUGGGUCUAAUACCGGAUAGGAGCCAUUUUUAGUGUGAUGGUUGGAAAGUUUUUUCGGUGUAGGAUGAGCUCGCGGCCUAUCAGCUUGUUGGUGGGGUAAUGGCCUACCAAGGCGGCGACGGGUAGCCGGCCUGAGGGGGUGGACUGCCACACUGAGACUGAGAGAAGGCCCAGACUGCGAAGGGAGGCAGAAGUGGGGAAGAUUGAACAAGGGGCGCAAGCCGGAUGCAGCGACGCCGCGGGGGGGAUGACGGCCUUCGGGGUGUAAAAUCCUUUCGCUAGGGACGAAGCUUUUUGUGACGGUACCUAGAUAAGAAGCACCGGCUAACUACGUG